GGGACACGUGGUAUCCUGUCUGAAUAUGGGGGGACCAUCCUCCAAGGCUAAAUACUCCUGACUGACCGAUAGUGAACCAGUACCGUGAGGGAAAGGCGAAAAGAACCCCGGCGAGGGGAGUGAAAAAGAACCUGAAACCGUGUACGUACAAGCAGUGGGAGCCUCUUUAUGGGGUGACUGCGUACCUUUUGUAUAAUGGGUCAGCGACUUAUAUUCUGUAGCAAGGUUAACCGAAUAGGGGAGCCGAAGGGAAACCGAGUCUUAACUGGGCGUUAAGUUGCAGGGUAUAGACCCGAAACCCGGUGAUCUAGCCAUGGGCAGGUUGAAGGUUGGGUAACACUAACUGGAGGACCGAACCGACUAAUGUUGAAAAAUUAGCGGAUGACUUGUGGCUGGGGGUGAAAGGCCAAUCAAACCGGGAGAUAGCUGGUUCUCCCCGAAAGCUAUUUAGGUAGCGCCUCGUGAAUUCAUCUCCGGGGGUAGAGCACUGUUUCGGCAAGGGGGUCAUCCCGACUUACCAACCCGAUGCAAACUGCGAAUACCGGAGAAUGUUAUCACGGGAGACACACGGCGGGUGCUAACGUCCGUCGUGAAGAGGGAAACAACCCAGACCGCCAGCUAAGGUCCCAAAGUCAUGGUUAAGUGGGAAACGAUGUGGGAAGGCCCAGACAGCCAGGAUGUUGGCUUAGAAGCAGCCAUCAUUUAAAGAAAGCGUAAUAGCUCACUGGUCGAGUCGGCCUGCGCGGAAGAUGUAACGGGGCUAAACCAUGCACCGAAGCUGCGGCAGCGACACUAUGUGUUGUUGGGUAGGGGAGCGUUCUGUAAGCCUGUGAAGGUGUGCUGUGAGGUAUGCUGGAGGUAUCAGAAGUGCGAAUGCUGACAUAAGUAACGAUAAAGCGGGUGAAAAGCCCGCUCGCCGGAAGACCAAGGGUUCCUGUCCAACGUUAAUCGGGGCAGGGUGAGUCGACCCCUAAGGCGAGGCCGAAAGGCGUAGUCGAUGGGAAACAGGUUAAUAUUCCUGUACUUGGUGUUACUGCGAAGGGGGGACGGAGAAGGCUAUGUUGGCCGGGCGACGGUUGUCCCGGUUUAAGCGUGUAGGCUGGUUUUCCAGGCAAAUCCGGAAAAUCAAGGCUGAGGCGUGAUGACGAGGCACUACGGUGCUGAAGCAACAAAUGCCCUGCUUCCAGGAAAAGCCUCUAAGCAUCAGGUAACAUCAAAUCGUACCCCAAACCGACACAGGUGGUCAGGUAGAGAAUACCAAGGCGCUUGAGAGAACUCGGGUGAAGGAACUAGGCAAAAUGGUGCCGUAACUUCGGGAGAAGGCACGCUGAUAUGUAGGUGAAGUCCCUUGCGGAUGGAGCUGAAAUCAGUCGAAGAUACCAGCUGGCUGCAACUGUUUAUUAAAAACACAGCACUGUGCAAACACGAAAGUGGACGUAUACGGUGUGACGCCUGCCCGGUGCCGGAAGGUUAAUUGAUGGGGUUAGCGGUAACGCGAAGCUCUUGAUCGAAGCCCCGGUAAACGGCGGCCGUAACUAUAACGGUCCUAAGGUAGCGAAAUUCCUUGUCGGGUAAGUUCCGACCUGCACGAAUGGCGUAAUGAUGGCCAGGCUGUCUCCACCCGAGACUCAGUGAAAUUGAACUCGCUGUGAAGAUGCAGUGUACCCGCGGCAAGACGGAAAGACCCCGUGAACCUUUACUAUAGCUUGACACUGAACAUUGAGCCUUGAUGUGUAGGAUAGGUGGGAGGCUUUGAAGUGUGGACGCCAGUCUGCAUGGAGCCGACCUUGAAAUACCACCCUUUAAUGUUUGAUGUUCUAACGUUGGCCCCU
rnacentral:rRNA from 1 species